rnacentral:misc_RNA from 1 species
UUGAAAUAAACCUGAUGGGUUGUUGCUGGUUCUCUUGGGAGCAUGUGCACACCUUGUCAUCUUUAUAUCUCCACCUGUGCACCCUUUGUAGACCUUCCCAGGUCUAUGUUGCUUUUUCAUUUACCCCAAUGUAUGUUAAUAGAAUGUUGUGCCUAUAAAAUCUAUA